rnacentral:sRNA from 1 species
UGGCUCAUCGGUUACUCGGGAUUGAGAA